rnacentral:tRNA from 1 species
GUUUCUGUAGUGUAGUGGUUAUCACGUUUGCCAAACACCGCGAAAGGUCCCCGGUUCGAAACCUGGCAGAAACU